UUAUCUACACAAUCAAUUUCAACACGACCGCCGUGGUGAGUAAGUCCGACGAAACACAAUGCGAAAGAAAAAGCACGAUAGCGAGUUGUAGUUGUUGUGGUUCAGUUCACGAAAGAAUUUUGUAAAAUUAACACAGAAAUCUGCGGGGUGCGCCGUUGUUCAGCAUGAAGUGAAAACAAAGUUCAUUAAAUAAAAGCAAAAACGUGCUACUAAGCAAAUCGAUAAAAUAUAUAUAAACGAUUUAAGACUGGAUUUCCAGACUAUUGCGGAGCGUUUUUAAUUAGUGAGUGUGUGAAGUUAAUUUGCAUAGAAACCGAUGAACAAACGAGCGAAGACACCAUUCCAUUGUUUGGGCCACACUUUUAUUAUUUCUUAUCUAAGUGAAAGUACGUUGGCCAAGUUCAAGGAUACGCACGUAGAGCGCGCGAUAGAACAGCAACAGUGGCAAUAGCAACAGCAGCAGCAACUAAAAAAAAAAAAAAUUAACAACAAAAACGAAUAAGUGCACAUUGGUGAAAGAAGAUUUUCUCACCAUAACGAAAGCAACAACAACAAAAAGCAAAUACAUUAACUUCAUUACUGAACGCAACAAGAGCGCACUUGGGGUUUUCACCGGACAGUGAACCAAAAACCACCUAAAAUCAAAUACAAUUUUCACCCUCCCCCAGCCACCUACAUAUGUACGUCAGCACCGACAACCCCUUGAAAAUACAGAGUUGAAAACAACAACACUUAAGUGCAUAUACACUUACAAAAAUUUGUUGCUUUUGUAUACAUAUGUAUGUACGUUUGUUAAAACUGUUUGCGAAUUUAGCUCGCGUCAAAUAACUGUGCUUUUUAAUACAUACUUAGUAUUAUGUAGUAGUCAGCCUUCUCGGUUGAACUGUGUGCGCGCGCGUUUGUUUUGCAUUGCCCACGUGGGCGGGAGGCCAAACAAUACUUAACACAGGAUCAUUCAACUUCACAGCAGCAACAGCAGUAAAAAAAUAAAGAACAUUUUCAACAAGUAGAUAUUUGAUUCCUUUGGAGGAAUUAACUCACACAAACAACGCACACACACUCAUUCGCAUUUCCAACCCCGCCCAAGAGUGCCGUCAUUGCCACCGGUGCAGUUGGCAAUCAGCCGUCUUCGCUUUGCAAACAAAAAAA